rnacentral:rRNA from 1 species
GACGAACGCUGGCGGCGUGCUUAACACAUGCAAGUCGAACGGAAAGGCCCCUUUGGGGGUACUCGAGUGGCGCACGGGUGAGUAACACGUGAGUAACCUGCCCUUGACUUCGGGAUAACUUCAGGAAACUGGGGCUAAUACCGGAUAGGAAUCCUUGCUGCAUGGUGGGGGUUGGAAAGCUUCGGCGGUUUUGGAUGGACUCGCGGCUUAUCAGCUUGUUGGUGGGGUAGUGGCUUACCAAGGCUUUGACGGGUAGCCGGCCUGAGAGGGCGACCGGCCACAUUGGGACUGAGAUACGGCCCAGACUCCUACGGGAGGCAGCAGGGGGGAAUAUUGCACAAGGGGCGGAAGCCGGAUGCAGCAACGCCGCGUGCGGGAUGACGGCCUUCGGGUUGUAAACCGCUUUCAGCAGGGGCGAAGCUUGUGGUGACGGUACCUGCAGAAGAAGCACCGGCUAACUACGUG